rnacentral:rRNA from 1 species
UACGGAGGGGGCUAGCGUUGUUCGGAAUUACUGGGCGUAAAGCGCACGUAGGCGGCUUUGUAAGUUAGAGGUGAAAGCCCGGGGCUCAACCUCGGAAUUGCCUUCGAUACUGGGUAUCUUGAGUUCGGGAGAGGUGAGUGGAAUGCCGAGUGUAGAGGUGAAAUUCGUAGAUAUUCGGCGGAACACCAGUGGCGAAGGCGACUCACUGGCCCGAUACUGACGCUGAUGCGCGAAAGCGUGGGGAGCAAACAGG